rnacentral:rRNA from 1 species
UACGUAGGGUGCAAGCGUUGUCCGGAAUUAUUGGGCGUAAAGAGCUCGUAGGCGGUCUGUCGCGUCUGCUGUGAAAAUCCGGGGCUCAACCCCGGACUUGCAGUGGGUACGGGCAGACUAGAGUGUGGUAGGGGAGACUGGAAUUCCUGGUGUAGCGGUGAAAUGCGCAGAUAUCGGGAGGAACACCAAUGGCGAAGGCAGCUCGCUGGGACGGUACUGACGCUGAGACGCGAAAGCGUGGGGAGCAAACAGG